AGUGAACGCUGGCGGUAGACCUAACACAUGCAAGUCGAACGGCAGCACAGUAAGAGCUUGCUCUUACGGGUGGCGAGUGGCGGACGGGUGAGGAAUACAUCGGAAUCUACUUUUUCGUGGGGGAUAACGUAGGGAAACUUACGCUAAUACCGCAUACGACCUACGGGUGAAAGCAGGGGAUCUUCGGACCUUGCGCGAAUGAAUGAGCCGAUGUCGGAUUAGCUAGUUGGCGGGGUAAAGGCCCACCAAGGCGACGAUCCGUAGCUGGUCUGAGAGGAUGAUCGGCCACACUGGAACUGAGACACGGUCCAGACUCCUACGGGAGGCAGCAGUGGGGAAUAUUGGACAAUGGGCGCAAGCCUGAUCCAGCCAUACCGCGUGGGUGAAGAAGGCCUUCGGGUUGUAAAGCCCUUUUGUUGGGAAAGAAAAGCAGCAGGUUAAUACCCCGCUGUUCUGACGGUACCCAAAGAAUAAGCACCGGCUAACUUCGUG
rnacentral:rRNA from 1 species